CCAAAAAUCUUAUUAGGUUAGAAAUUUAUCCUCACGUAUUUCUCACAAAUCUACAGACACCAAGUUCAUCACGUAGCCUCCCAAGUUUGGAGACAACCAUUCGCUCAAUCUCUCUCAAUCUCUUUCACAAGAUGGUGAAGAAUAAUAAUAUGGCUAGUAGAUCACGAGUUCCGGCUGUAUGGAAUAAUUAGAAUACAACUAUAUUUUGUGACAUGUGUAUCAAGGAGGUGGAGGCAGGCAAUCGUCCUGGUUAUCUAUUUAUCUUUGUUGAAAUUUAUUCAAUACAUAAUUCUGUUUGUUUA